rnacentral:rRNA from 1 species
CCUACGUGAGGCAGCAGUGGGGAAUAUUGCACAAUGGGGGAAACCCUGAUGCAGCGACGCCGCGUGAGUGAAGAAGUAUUUCGUUAUGUAAAGCUCUGUCAGCAGGGAAGAAAAUGACGGUACCUGACCAAGAAGCCCCGGCUAACUACGUGCCAGCAGCCGCGGUAAUACGUAGGGGGCAAGCGUUAUCCGGAUUUACUGGGUGUAAAGGGCGCGGAGAGGGCAGGGCAAGUCUGGAGUGAAAGGCGGGGGCUCAACCCCCGGACUGCUAUGGAAACUGCCAGGCUGGAGUGCAGGAGAGGUAAGUGGAAUUACUAGUGUAGCGGUGAAAUGCGUAGAUAUUAGGAGGAACACCAGUGGCGAAGGCGGCUUACUGGACUGUAACUGACGUUGAGGCUCGAAAGCGUGGGGAGCAAACAGGAUUAGAUACCCUAGUAGUC